UACGUAGGGGGCGAGCGUUGUCCGGAAUUAUUGGGCGUAAAGGGCGCGCAGGCGGUCUCUUAAGUCUGAUGUGAAAUCUUGUGGCUUAACCAUAAGCGGUCAUUGGAAACUGGGAGACUUGAGGACAGAAGAGGAGAGUGGAAUUCCACGUGUAGCGGUGAAAUGCGUAGAUAUGUGGAGGAACACCAGUGGCGAAGGCGACUCUCUGGUCUGUAGCUGACGCUGAGGCGCGAAAGCGUGGGUAGCGAACAGG
rnacentral:rRNA from 1 species